rnacentral:lncRNA from 1 species
GGAAAACUCAGUUGUUCUUAAUGCCUUGCGGAAGUAAAACAGCUGUUUUGAAGAUUAGACUUUGAGAGGCUGUAGGCCUAACGAUGACUGUCUGCGUGUUGGAGAGACUAAGAACCUCGGUCCUGUUCAGCCAAUCUGUUUGAUGCUUCAGCAGUCCCUACCUGGUGCUGAAACCCUACAGUAUUUCUGCAGAGCGUUUGGAAGACUCUGAAGCUGCUGUCUGAUGUCAGUAAAUGACAGCAGCAGCAGCGGCAGCGGGAUUGACGCACUCACUAGCAGGAAUGAAAGGUGGGCAGUCAAGCUGCACUGCUCUUUCCUUAUCACCUCCUGGAUAUGUGAGUCUUGAUAUAAGUCUAAGCUGGAAUUUACCACCUACUCUGCUGGAAGAGCUUCUUCUUCAAAGACCUCCCCAAAGGCAUGUUACUUAGUGGAUUCUCUGUCCAAUCAAGAUCAAGAAUUACAGUUAUUGGGUACUUUAUUUCCUCCUUUGAAUGUUUAACUCAUUUAAGUGUGUUGUGUAUUAUUUUGAAGCAAAUUUAUAAAUUAUAUAAUUUAAACCGUAUUGUAGAAUGUAUAUUAGACUUCAAAAAUUAUACCUGCAUGUAUACAUGUUUAUGUCAUAGGACCAUUAGGCUAUCUAAAUGUUCACCUCAGUUUUUAAAAGAUUUGCUUGUUUAUGUCUGGGCCAGCAUGUGCAUGGUGGUACCA